rnacentral:rRNA from 1 species
CCGUCGCUACUACCGAUUGAAUGGCUCAGUGAGGCGUCCGGACUGGCCCAGAGAGGUGGGCAACUACCACUCAGGGCCGGAAAGCUCUCCAAACUCGGUCAUUUAGAGGAAGUAAAAGUCGUAACAAGGUCUCCGUUGGUGAACCAGCGGAGGGAUCAUUACCGAGUUUAC